CCUACGGGAGGCUGCAGUCGAGAAUCAUUCACAAUGGGGGAAACCCUGAUGGUGCGACGCCGCGUGGGGGAAUGAAGGCCUUCGGAUUGUAAACCCCUGUCAUGUGGGAGCAAAUUAAAAAGAUAGUACCACAAGAGGAAGAGACGGCUAACUCUGUGCCAGCAGCCGCGGUAAUACAGAGGUCUCAAGCGUUGUUCGGAACCACUGGGCGUAAAGGGUGCGUAGGCUGUUUCGUAAGUCGUGUGUGAAAGACGCGGGCUCAACCCGCGGACGGCACAUGAUACUGCGGGACUAGAGUAAUGGAGGAGGAACCGGAAUGCUCGGUGUAGCAGUGAAAUGCGUAGAUAUCGAGAGGAACACUCGUGGCGAAGGCAGGUUCCUGGACAUUAACUGACGCUGAGGCACGAAGGCCAGGGGAGCGAAAGGGAUUAGAUACCCCUGUAGUC
rnacentral:rRNA from 1 species